AUGGGAGUUCAACUGCGCAAGCUCUCUCGCCUGCAGCCACGUGAGACACAACUUUGCUCCUCUUUCGCUUUCCGUCAUGAUUGUGAGGCCUCCCCCACCAUGUGGAACUUUGAGGCCUUGAAAAUCUCUCUGGAUUCCUUGAAGAUUAGCAGAACAUCUGUCAGGAAGACUGAAUAUGUUGAGCGUGUAUGUGUGUGUAUCUUUAAAAUAUUUUUAAAAUUUUAUUUUCAAUUGACAAAUGUUGUUUAUGGGGGUACAAUAUGAUGUUUUGAUCUAUGAAUACAUUAUAGAAAGAUUCAAUCAAGUUAAUUAACAU
rnacentral:lncRNA from 1 species